rnacentral:rRNA from 1 species
GACGAACGCUGGCGGCGUGCUUAACACAUGCAAGUCGAACGGUGACGAGGAGCUUGCUCCUCCGAUCAGUGGCGAACGGGUGAGUAACACGUGAGUAACCUGCCCCAGACCCUGGGAUAACAGUUGGAAACAGCUGCUAAUACCGGAUACGAGACGGAGAGGCAUCUCUACCGUCUGGAAAGAUUUAUCGGUCUGGGAUGGGCUCGCGGCCUAUCAGCUUGUUGGUGAGGUAAAGGCUCACCAAGGCGACGACGGGUAGCCGGCCUGAGAGGGCGACCGGCCACACUGGGACUGAGACACGGCCCAGACUCCUAUGGGAGGCAGCAGUGGGGAAUAUUGCACAAUGGGCGAAAGCCUGAUGCAGCGACGCCGCGUGAGGGAUGACGGCCUC